rnacentral:rRNA from 1 species
GAUGAACGCUAGCGGCAGGCCUAAUACAUGCAAGUCGAACGGUGUCUUCGGACAUAGUGGCGCACGGGUGCGUAACACGUAUGCAACCUACCUUACAUUGGGGGAUAGCCUUUCGAAAGGGAGAUUAAUACCGCAUAAGACAGUAGCUGGGCAUCCAGCAGCUGUUAAAGAUUUAUCGAUGUAAGCUGGGCAUGCGUCCAAUUAGUUAGUUGGUGAGGUAACGGCUCACCAAGGCAAUGAUUGGUAGGGGAACUGAGAGGCCAAUCCCUCACACUGACACUGAGAUACGGGACAGACUCCUACGGGCGGCAGCAGUAGGGAAUAUUGGGCAAUGGACGCAAGUCUGACCCAGCCAUGCCGCGUGAAGGAUGAAGGCGUUAUGCGUUGUAAACUGCUUUUAUACAGGAAGAAACGACUCUUGCGAGAGGCAUUGACGGUACUGUAUGAAUAAGCACCGGCUAACUCCGUGCCAGCCGCCGCGGUAACAC